rnacentral:rRNA from 1 species
GUAGGAGUCGAUUUGGAGGUUGUGCCCUUGAGGCGUGGCUUCCGAAGCUAACGCGUUAAAUCGACCGCCUGGGGAGUACGGCCGCAAGGUUAAAACUCAAAUGAAUUGACGGGGGCCCGCACAAGCGGUGGAGCAUGUGGUUUAAUUCGAUGCAACGCGAAGAACCUUACCUACUCUUGACAUCCAGCGAAUCCUGUAGAGAUACGGGAGUGCCUUCGGGAACGCUGAGACAGGUGCUGCAUGGCUGUCGUCAGCUCGUGUUGUGAAAUGUUGGGUUAAGUCCCGCAACGAGCGCAACCCUUAUCCUUUGUUGCCAGCGGUUCGGCCGGGAACUCAAAGGAGACUGCCAGUGAUAAACUGGAGGAAGGUGGGGAUGACGUCAAGUCAUCAUGGCCCUUACGAGUAGGGCUACACACGUGCUACAAUGGCGUAUACAAAGAGAAGCGACCUCGCGAGAGCAAGCGGACCUCAUAAAGUACGUCGUAGUCCGGAUUGGAGUCUGCAACUCGACUCCAUGAAGUCGGAAUCGCUAGUAAUCGUGGAUCAGAAUGCCACGGUGAAUACGUUCCCGGGA